rnacentral:lncRNA from 1 species
CUGCAGCAACGUGUGGGGUAUCUUUUAGUGUACAUAAGAUUAUAUGAUAUUUAGAUAGUGGCCUGUAGCAUAAUGUUAACAUGUGAUGAGCCUGGCUGCAGGUAUCGCCAGAUUGGAAAUGCUGUGGCCGUACCCGUUGGCCGUGCACUUGGGUAUGCCUUGGCCAUGGCCAACCUGAACAAGACUGGAAAUGAUCCCCUCAUGGAGCUACCACCCAAGUUUGCAUUCUCUCAUAUAGAAGGCACUCCUUAGUCAGACUGGCAAAACCUAACGGUUGACUUUUCCACCUGGGUUUAAGUCUCGUCAUCUCCGUUCAUUCUCCGCUAGAAAAGCUGGGUACCUCAUGGUCGUGAAUAUCAUUAGGACUCGUGAAUAUCGUUAGGGCAUGCGCAUUUUAACAUAAGUCUUGAUUCAUUUUAUUGCCAUGUUGUACCUUGUAACAUCUUAGUUUCUUAGAAGUUCCUGUAGGCAGGUGUAAGUUGCUCAGUAUGGUUUGUCCUGAGAGAACCUUGUGUUGUACUGUAAAAGAAUGUAGGUAUCAUAACUUUGUCACAUACAUUUGUUAGAAGCUCACAUGGGCAGGUGUAGGUGGCUGCAGUGGAUCUCCUCUGCCUUUGUUGUACUAUAAAGACUAUGUAUGUAUGUAUGUAUGUAUAGACAAGCUGAGUGGUCAGGGGAAUAAAAUGUACACCUUCU